rnacentral:sRNA from 1 species
UAUUGUCAUCGUUUAAUCGCCUGUGAUAACUCUGUAGACAUUAAUUCGACAGACAAGAGUGUCAGACCCCAAUAUGAAAGCCCUUUUCCAGGUUGUCAGCCUAGUCGUGAUUCGCGUGGUGGUGAUUAUUAUCCCACCGUGCGGGGCUGCACUUGGACGAAGAAAGGCUUAGAAAACAAGUCUGAAACUGAAGAGAACCCCCGCACCGUAAGGUCCGGGGGUUUUUUUAUGGCCGGUGAAAAGUGAAGCGAGGACAGAAGAUGAACAACAGCAUAAUAUUCUGGGCUUCCCGCA